GGGCCUGUAGCCUAGUGGUUACAAGAGCCUUAGUAGCACCUAAGAUACUGGGUUUGACUUCUGGUUGGAGCGAAUAUUCCAGGAUUUUUUAACAGCUUAUGCUUUCAGGGGUAGGCACCGUCCCCGCUGAUCAGGCUUCGGAGAUGUUGUGUUGUGAGCGUCUGCGUUGUACUGUGUUUCCUAAAAAAAAAUACUUAACCAAAUCUUCUAAUUCUUUCACACAACGCAUGGAUAACAUAUUUCCUUGUUUUUCAAAGCAUGUGUCUUGAUCUAAAUAAGAAAUUUGAAGCAUGUGUCUUGAUCUAAAUAAGAAAUUUGUUCACUUCUGGCAAGUAGUUCUGGCAAGUAGGGUGGAUGAGAUCUUGGCAUAUCAUAUAUUCAUGCCCUAUCUAUAUACUCCCUCC
rnacentral:lncRNA from 1 species